UACGUAGGGUGCAAGCGUUAUCCGGAAUUAUUGGGCGUAAAGAGCUCGUAGGCGGUUUGUCGCGUCUGCUGUGAAAACCGGAGGCUCAACCUCCGGCCUGCAGUGGGUACGGGCAAACUAGAGUGCGGUAGGGGAGAUUGGAAUUCCUGGUGUAGCGGUGGAAUGCGCAGAUAUCAGGAGGAACACCGAUGGCGAAGGCAGAUCUCUGGGCCGUAACUGACGCUGAGGAGCGAAAGCUAGGGGAGCAAACGGG
rnacentral:rRNA from 1 species